UGACUUGCCGCCGAGGGGAGCGGAUCCUGCAGCGACAUCGCCGCCG
rnacentral:SRP_RNA from 12 species